GACGAACGCUGGCGGCGUGCCUAAUACAUGCAAGUAGGACGCAGUUGCGAACGGGUGAGUAACGCGUAGGUAACUACCUAUUAGAGGGGGAUAACUAUUGGAAACGAUAGCUAAUACCGCAUACUAGUAGAUGGACCUGCGUUGUAUUAGCUAGUAGGUAGGGUAAAGGCCUACCUAGGCAACGAUACAUAGCCGACCUGAGAGGGUGAUCGAGCAAACUGGGACUGGGAACCGGGCCAGACUCCUACGGGAUGCAGCAGUAGGGAAACAUCGGCAAUGGGGGGAACCCUGACCGAGCAACGCCGCGUGAGUGAAGAAGGUUUUCGGAGCGUAAAGCUCUGUUGUUAAGGAAGCGGUACUUAACCAGAAAGGGACGGCUAACUACGUGCCAGCAGCCGCGGUAAUUC
rnacentral:rRNA from 1 species